rnacentral:rRNA from 1 species
AGAGUUUGAUCAUGGCUCAGAACGAACGCUGGCGGCGUGGAUAAGACAUGCAAGUUGAACGCUUAUCCGGGUGUAGCAAUACAUUCGGGUAGGAGUAGCGCAAGGGUGCGUAACACGUGGGUAAUUUGCCGUGAAGUUGGGGAUAACUCGCUGAAAGGCGAGCUAAUACCGAAUGUGAAGUUUGGGUGGCAUCACCUGACCUUUAAAGCUGGGGAUCGUAAGACCUGGCGCUUUAUGAUAAGCCCGCGGCCUAUCAGCUAGUUGGUGAGGUAACGGCUCACCAAGGCUAAGACGGGUAGCUGGUCUGAGAGGACGACCAGCCACACUGGAACUGAGACACGGUCCAGACACCUACGGGUGGCAGCAGUCGAGAAUUUUUCUCAAUGGGCGCAAGCCUGAAGGAGCGACGCCGCGUGGGGGAUGAAGGGUUUCGAUCCGUAAACCCCUGUCAUUUGUGAACAAUGGUUAUUAUUUAAAAGAUGAUGACUUGAUAGUAAUGAAAGAGGAAGGGACGGCUAACUCUGUGCCAGCAGCCGCGGUAAUACAGAGGUCCCGAGCGUUGUUCGGAUUCACUGGGCGUAAAGGGUGCGUAGGUGGCUUGGUAAGUUUGAUGUGAAAGCUCAGGGCUUAACCCUGAAAUGGCAUUGAAUACUACUGAGCUGGAGGUUUGGAGGGGGGACUGGAAUUCUUGGUGUAGCAGUGAAAUGCGUAGAUAUCAAGAGGAACACCAGUGGCGAAGGCGAGUCCCUGGACAACACCUGACACUGAGGCACGAAAGCUAGGGGAGCAAACAGGAUUAGAUACCCUAGUAGUCC